rnacentral:lncRNA from 1 species
GGCCAUUGGGCCUUAAGUGAGACUGCCAGGCCCAUAAGGAAAAGGUCAGCAUAACCUUAGGAGAGGGGAACUUUCCCUUUGUUCUGGGUUAUUUCACAGAAAGCUAUUCUCUCUCUAAAACCCUUGUGCCCUAAUAUUUUCUCUGACUUCUCUCUAAAAUUCCAGAACUUUGAACUGUUCAAAUCUAGAUUGGGUGCUGCCAAAUCAUUCCUGG